GACGAACGCUGGCGGCGUGCCUAAUACAUGCAAGUAGAACGCUGAAGGAGGAGCUUGCUUCUCCGGAUGAGUUGCGAACGGGUGAGUAACGCGUAGGUAACCUGCCUGGUAGCGGGGGAUAACUAUUGGAAACGAUAGCUAAUACCGCAUAAGAGUAGAUGUCGCAUGACAUUUGCUUAAAAGGUGCAACUGCACCACUACCAGAUGGACCUGCGUUGUAUUAGCUAGUUGGUGAGGUAACGGCUCACCAAGGCAACGAUACAUAGCCGACCUGGGAGGGUGAUCGGCCACACUGGGACUGAGACACGGCCCAGACUCCUACGGGAGGCAGCAGUAGGGAAUCUUCGGCAAUGGACGGAAGUCUGACCGAGCAACGCCGCGUGAGUGAAGAAGGUUUUCGGAUCGUAAAGCUCUGUUGUAAGAGAAGAACGAGUGUGAGAGUGGAAAGUUCACACUGUGACGGUAUCUUACCAGAAAGGGACGGCUAACUACGUG
rnacentral:rRNA from 1 species